CCCAGCCGGGAAGGGAGGAGGAGCAGCGGCAAGGCGCGUCUGGGCCUCUCCGCUUCGUUCCGUGUCGGUAUGGCCGCCUUCGUCGACCUGGAGAGCUUCGUGGAUGAAAUUAAGCCGUCGAUUUGUACCAACCACUUCUUGUUCAGAUGUGAGCUGAACAGCAGUGCCCGAUCCUACACUUUUGAAGUCUGUGAAGAGGAUGAGACUGACCAUUUCCUAGCUUUGGAUAUGGUUUGCCUGUCAGAAGGUGCAAAGGAUGAAUGCAACAUUGUGGAGCUUAUCGGGCGUGACUAUCAAAACAAGGAGAUCACUGUGCCAGUGGCCAAUCUGAAGUUGUCAUGCCAGCCCUCGCUGUGUUUGGAGCAUUUUGAGCUUCAGCCCCCAGUGACCUUCCGCCUGUGCUCAGGAUCUGGCCCUGUCCACCUUGCAGGACAACACCAAAUCUUUCACAGAAGGGAUCCCUCAGAGUCCAGUGAGGAGGAUGUUAGCGAGGAAGAUGCAUCCAUAGAAGAGGAGGAGGAGUUCUCCCCUAUCAAGCCUGCCAAGAAACAGCGCAAGUGUUAGCUAUCCUUCGUGGAGGAUGAGCCAUCUCUGUGUGACUACCGCUGUAAUGGAGACAGGUCCUGCAAAUGUCAUUUUUCCUGAAAUGGAGUGGUCAUGGUUUGGCAGAUGACUUUAUUGAAAAUUUUGCUUGUGUUCUCAGUCUGUAACUGAUGACUUUUGACUGUAACAGGUGCUCUUGAUUUUGAGUUGAAACUGGUGUUUGAGGAAUCAGCAGAAACCUACAAGCCAUGUUUUUGAGGACACCGUUCCCUUUCAUCCUGGGAAAAGUGAUGGUUGCUCUGCUGAUCAUCUUUUCAGGGUGCUUAGAAAACUACCAAGCAGAGUUUACUUUUUUAUAUAUAAAUAUAGAUGUUAUUUUCUUAUUGUGUUAACCGACUGAGAAAAAUCUUUAUUAUGUAGGC